GUAAAGAUUUUAAGGGCGUACGGUGGAUGCCUUGGCGAUAUCAGCCGAAGAAGGACGCGGUAAGCUGCGAUAAGCUACGGAGAGGUGCAAGCAACCUGUGACCCGUAGAUAUCCGAAUGGGGGAACCCGGCAGUGGUUAUGCACUGUCACCCAUAGCAUAGACUAUGAGGAGGGCACCCGGGGAACUGAAACAUCUAAUUACCCGGAGGAACAGUAAUCAAACGAGAUUUUCUUAGUAGCGGCGAGCGAACGGGAAAGAGGCCAAACCGGAGCGGGCAACCGCACCGGGGUUGAGGACAGUCAUCAAGUGUAAAUGAGGUAGAAGAAUCGAGCUGGAAAGCUCAGCCGCAGAAGGUGAAAGCCCUGUAAUCGAAACCUUGCAUACA
rnacentral:rRNA from 1 species